AUUGAACGCUGGCGGCAGGCCUAACACAUGCAAGUCGAACGAGCGGCGGACGGGUGAGUAAUGUCUGGGAAACUGCCUGAUGGAGGGGGAUAACUACUGGAAACGGUAGCUAAUACCGCAUACCAUCGGAUGUGCCCAGAUGGGAUUAGCUUGUAGGUGGGGUAACGGAUCACCUAGGCGACGAUCCCUAGCUGGUAUGAGAGGAUGACCAGCCACCCUGGAACUGAGACACGGUCCAGACUCCUACGGGAGGCAGCAGUGGGGAAUAUUGCACAAUGGGCGCAAGCCUGAUGCAGCCAUGCCGCGUGUAUGAAGAAGGCCUUCGGGUUGUAAAGUACUUUCAGCGAGGAGGCGUUACCCACAGAAGAAGCACCGGCUAACUCCGUGCCAGCAGCCGCGGUAAUAC
rnacentral:rRNA from 1 species